CGAAAACCUUACCUGGGCUUGAACUGUAGUGACACGGGUGAAAGCUCGCCUCUCCUUCGGGAGUCUCUGCACAGGUGCUGCAUGGCUGUCGUCAGCUCGUGUCGUGAGAUGUUGGGUUAAGUCCCGCAACGAGCGCAACCCUCGUGGGUAGUUGUCGAUGUUUCUACCCAGACUGCCGCGAGCAACGCGGAGAAAGGUGGGGAUAACGUCAAGUCAGCAUGGCCCUUACGUCUUGGGCAACACGCACGCUACAAUGGCUGGGACACCGGGUCACCAAGCGGCAACGCGGAUCGAAUCCCAAAAACCCAGUNUCAGUUGGAAUUGUGGGNUGCAACUCGCCCGCAUGAACGUGGAGUCACUAGUAACCGCAGGUCAGCNCUACUGCGGUGAAUACGUUCCC
rnacentral:rRNA from 1 species